GGAAAAUGCGGCUUGCCUAUACAUGCAAGUCGAGCGAACAGACAAGGAGCUUGCUCCUUUGACGUUAGCGGCGGACGGGUGAGUAACACGUGGGUAACCUACCUAUAAGACUGGGAUAACUUCGGGAAACCGGAGCUAAUACCGGAUAAUAUUUCGAACCGCAUGGUUCGAUAGUGAAAGAUGGUUUUGCUAUCACUUAUAGAUGGACCCGCGCCGUAUUAGCUAGUUGGUAAGGUAACGGCUUACCAAGGCGACGAUACGUAGCCGACCUGAGAGGGUGAUCGGCCACACUGGAACUGAGACACGGUCCAGACUCCUACGGGAGGCAGCAGUAGGGAAUCUUCCGCAAUGGGCGAAAGCCUGACGGAGCAACGCCGCGUGAGUGAUGAAGGUCUUCGGAUCGUAAAACUCUGUUAUUAGGGAAGAACAUACGUGUGAGUGACUAUGCACGUCUUGACGGUACCUAAUCAGAAAGCCACGGCUAACUACGUGCCAGCAGCAGCGGUAAUACGUAGGUGGCAAGCGUUAUCCGGAAUUAUUGGGCGUAAAGCGCGCGUAGGCGGUUUUUUAAGUCUGAUGUGAAAGCCCACGGCUCAACCGUGGAGGGUCAUUGGAAACUGGAAAACUUGAGUGCAGAAGAGGAAAGUGGAAUUCCAUGUGUAGCGGUGAAAUGCGCAGAGAUAUGGAGGAACACCAGUGGCGAAGGCGACUUUCUGGUCUGUAACUGACGCUGAUGUGCGAAAGCGUGGGGAUCAAACAGGAUUAGAUACCCUGGUAGUCCACGCCGUAAACGAUGAGUGCUAAGUGUUAGGGGGUUUCCGCCCCUUAGUGCUGCAGCUAACGCAUUAAGCACUCCGCCUGGGGAGUACGACCGCAAGGUUGAAACUCAAAGGAAUUGACGGGGACCCGCCCAAGCGGUG
rnacentral:rRNA from 1 species